GCUGACGAGUGGCGGACGGGUGAGUAAUGCUUGGGAACUUGCCUUUAGGUGGGGGAUAACAGUUGGAAACGACUGCUAAUACCGCAUAAUGUCUACGGACCAAAGGGGGCUUCGGCUCUCGCCUUGAGAGAGGCCCAAGUGAGAUUAGCUAGUUGGUGGGGUAAAGGCCUACCAAGGCAACGAUCUCUAGCUGUUCUGAGAGGAAGAUCAGCCACACUGGGACUGAGACACGGCCCAGACUCCUACGGGAGGCAGCAGUGGGGAAUAUUGCACAAUGGGGGAAACCCUGAUGCAGCCAUGCCGCGUGUGUGAAGAAGGCCUUCGGGUUGUAAAGCACUUUCAGUUGUGAGGAAAGGUUGGUAGUUAAUACCUGCCAGCUGUGACGUUAACAACAGAAGAAGCACCGGCUAACUCCGUGCCAGCAGCCGCGGUAAUACGGAGGGUGCGAGCGUUAAUCGGAAUUACUGGGCGUAAAGCGCACGCAGGCGGCUUGUUAAGCUAGAGGUGAAAGCCCCGCGCUCAACGUGGGAACUGCCUUUAGAACUGGCAGGCUAGAGUCUUGGAGAGGGGAGUGGAAUUCCAGGUGUAGCGGUGAAAUGCGUAGAUAUCUGGAGGA
rnacentral:rRNA from 1 species